rnacentral:rRNA from 1 species
UGGCGGACGGGUGAGUAACGCGUGGAAAACCUGCCGUAUACUGGGGGAUAACACUUAGAAAUAGGUGCUAAUACCGCAUAAGCGCACAGCUUCGCAUGAAGUGGUGUGAAAAACUCUGGUGGUAUACGAUGGUUCCGCGUCUGAUUAGCUUGUUGGUGGGGUAAUGGCUCACCAAGGCGACGAUCGGUAGCCGGCCUGAGAGGGUGAACGGCCACAUUGGGACUGAGACACGGCCCAAACUCCUACGGAAGGCAGCAG